GUAGGGAAUAUUGGGCAAUGGAUGCAAGUCUGACCCAGCCAUCCCGCGUGCCGGAAGAAGGCCCUCAGGGUUGUAAACGGCUUUUGACGGUGAAGAAUCGACAGGAUGCGUCCUGUUUUGACGGUAGCCGUUGAAUAAGCACCGGCUAACUCCGUGCCAGCAGCCGCGGUAAUACGGAGGGUGCGAGCGUUGUCCGGAUUUAUUGGGUUUAAAGGGUGCGUAGGCUGGAAGGUCAGUCAGCUGUGAAAAGCUGUCGCUUAACGAUAGUCUUGCCGCAGAUACUUCCUUUCUUGGAUGAGGAGGAGGCCACUGGAACGGAUGGUGUAGCGGUGAAAUGCAUAGAUAUCAUCCAGAACACCGAUUGCGAAGGCAGGUGGCUGUACCUUAAUCGACGCUGAUGCACGAAAGCAUGGGGAGCAAACAGGAUUAGAAACCCCAGUAGUCC
rnacentral:rRNA from 1 species